AGAGCUUGCUCGAAGAUGGUGAGAGUGGCGCACGGGUGCGUAACGCGUGAGCAACCUACCUCUAUCAGGGGGAUAGCCUCUCGAAAGAGAGAUUAACACCGCAUAACAUAUCUGACCGGCAUCGGUUAGCUAUUAAAUAUUUAUAGGAUAGAGAUGGGCUCGCGUGACAUUAGCUAGUUGGUAGGGUAACGGCUUACCAAGGCGACGAUGUCUAGGGGCUCUGAGAGGAGAAUCCCCCACACUGGUACUGAGACACGGACCAGACUCCUACGGGAGGCAGCAGUAAGGAAUAUUGGUCAAUGGGCGGAAGCCUGAACCAGCCAUGCCGCGUGCAGGAUGACUGCCCUAUGGGUUGUAAACUGCUUUUGUCCAGGAAUAAACCUAUAUACGUGUAUGAAGCUGAAUGUACUGGAAGAAUAAGGAUCGGCUAACUCCGUGCCAGCAGCCGCGGUAAUACGGAGGAUCCGAGCGUUAUCCGGAUUUAUUGGGUUUAAAGGGUGCGUAGGCGGCCUAUUAAGUCAGGGGUGAAAUACGGUGGCUCAACCAUCGCAGUGCCUUUGAUACUGAUGGGCUUGAAUCCAUUUGAAGUGGGCGGAAUAAGACAAGUAGCGGUGAAAUGCAUAGAUAUGUCUUAGAACUCCGAUUGCGAAGGCAGCUCACUAAGCUGGUAUUGACGCUGAUGCACGAAAGCGUGGGGAUCGAACAGGAUUAGAUACCCUGGUAGUCCACGCCCUAAACGAUGAUAACUCGAUGUUGGCGAUAGACAGCCAGCGUCCAAGCGAAAGCGUUAAGUUAUCCACCUGGGGAGUACGCCCGCAAGGGUGAAACUCAAAGGAAUUGACGGGGGCCCGCACAAGCGGAGGAGCAUGUGGUUUAAUUCGAUGAUACGCGAGGAACCUUACCCGGGCUUGAAAGUUAGUGAAGAGUGCAGAGACGCACUCGUCCUUCGGGACACGAAACUAGGUGCUGCAUGGCUGUCGUCAGCUCGUGCCGUGAGGUGUUGGGUUAAGUCCCGCAACGAGCGCAACCCCUAUGUUUAGUUGCCAGCAUGUAAUGGUGGGGACUCUAAACAGACUGCCUGUGCAAACAGAGAGGAAGGUGGGGACGACGUCAAGUCAUCAUGGCCCUUACGUCCGGGGCUACACACGUGCUACAAUGGAUGGUACAGCGGGCAGCUACAUAGCAAUAUGAUGCUAAUCUCUAAAAGCCAUUCACAGUUCGGAUUGGGGUCUGCAACUCGACCCCAUGAAGUUGGAUUCGCUAGUAAUCGCGUAUCAGCAAUGACGCGGUGAAUACGUUCCCGGGCCUUGUACACACCGCCCGUCAAGCCAUGAAAGUUGGGGGUACCUAAA
rnacentral:rRNA from 1 species